rnacentral:tRNA from 1 species
UGGGCUGUAGCCAAGCGGUAAGGCAACGGGCUCUGACCCCGUGAUUUCAUCGGUUCAAAUCCGAUCAGCCCAGCCA